rnacentral:rRNA from 1 species
GACGAACGCUGGCGGCGUGCCUAAUACAUGCAAGUUGAGCGCUGAAGGUUGGUACUUGUACCAACUGGAUGAGCAGCGAACGGGUGAGUAACGCGUGGGGAAUCUGCCUUUGAGCGGGGGACAACAUUUGGAAACGAAUGCUAAUACCGCAUAAAAACUUUAAACACAAGUUUUAAGUUUGAAAGAUGCAAUUGCAUCACUCAAAGAUGAUCCCGCGUUGUAUUAGCUAGUUGGUGAGGUAAAGGCUCACCAAGGCGAUGAUACAUAGCCGACCUGAGAGGGUGAUCGGACAAAUUGGGACUGAGACACGGCCCAAGCGCCUACGGGAGGCAGCAGUAGGGAAUCUUCGGCAAUGGACGAAAGUCUGACCGAGCAACGCCGCGUGAGUGAAGAAGGUUUUCGGAUCGUAAAACUCUGUUGGUAGAGAAGAACGUUGGUGAGAGUGGAAAGCUCAUCAAGUGACGGUAACUACCCAGAAAGGGACGGCUAACUACGUG